UACAGAGGGUGCGAGCGUUAAUCGGAGUUACUGGGCGUAAAGGGCGCGUAGGUGGUUUAGUAAGUGAGAUGUGAAAGCCCUGGGCUUAACCUAGGAAUUGCAUCUUAUACUGUUAGACUAGAGUACUGUAGAGGGUAGUGGAAUUUCCGGUGUAGCGGUGAAAUGCGUAGAGAUUUGGAGGAACACCAGUGGCGAAGGCGACUUUCUGGUCUGUAACUGACACUGAGGCGCGAAAGCGUGGGGAGCGAACAGG
rnacentral:rRNA from 1 species